rnacentral:rRNA from 1 species
GGUAGUAACACGUGGAUAACCUACCUAUAAGACUGGGAUAACUUCGGGAAACCGGAGCUAAUACCGGAUAAUAUAUUGAACCGCAUGGUUCAAUAGUGAAAGACGGUUUUGCCGUCACUUAUAGAUGGAUCCGCGCCGCAUUAGCUAGUUGGUAAGGUAACGGCUUACCAAGGCAACGAUGCGUAGCCGACCUGAGAGGGUGAUCGGCCACACUGGAACUGAGACACGGUCCAGACUCCUACGGGAGGCAGCAGAA